CCUACGGGUUGCACCAGUGGGGAAUAUUGCACAAUGGGCGCAAGCCUGAUGCAACCAUGCCGCGUGUGUGAAGAAGGCCUUCGGGUUGUAAAGCACUUUCAGCGGGGAGGAAGGCGGUGGGGUUAAUAACCUCACCGAUUGACGUUACCCGCAGAAGAAGCACCGGCUAACUCCGUGCCAGCAGCCGCGGUAAUACGGAGGGUGCAAGCGUUAAUCGGAAUUACUGGGCGUAAAGCGCACGCAGGCGGUCUGUCAAGUCGGAUGUGAAAUCCCCGGGCUCAACCUGGGAACUGCAUUCGAAACUGGCAGGCUAGAGUCUUGUAGAGGGGGGUAGAAUUCCAGGUGUGGCGGUGAAAUGCGUAGAGAUCUGGAGGAAUACCGGUGGCGAAGGCGGCCCCCUGGACAAAGACUGACGCUCAGGUGCGAAAGCGUGGGGAGCAAACAGGAUUAGAUACCCGGGUAGUC
rnacentral:rRNA from 1 species